GAUGAACGCUGGCGGCGUGCCUAAUACAUGCAAGUCGAGCGAACGGACGAGAAGCUUGCUUUUCUGAUGUUAGCGGCGGACGGGUGAGUAACACGUGGAUAACCUACCUAUAAGACUGGGAUAACUUCGGGAAACCGGAGCUAAUACCGGAUAAUAUUUUGAACCGCAUGGUUCAAAAGUGAAAGACGGUCUUGCUGUCACUUAUAGAUGGAUCCGCGCUGCAUUAGCUAGUUGGUAAGGUAACGGCUUACCAAGGCAACGAUGCAUAGCCGACCUGAGAGGGUGAUCGGCCACACUGGAACUGAGACACGGUCCAGACUCCUACGGGAGGCAGCAGUAGGGAAUCUUCCGCAAUGGGCGAAAGCCUGACGGAGCAACGCCGCGUGAGUGAUGAAGGUCUUCGGAUCGUAAAACUCUGUUAUUAGGGAAGAACAUAUGAGUAAGUAACUGUGCACAUCUUGACGGUACCUAAUCAGAAAGCCACGGCUAACUACGUG
rnacentral:rRNA from 1 species